UGAUGAUGAUGAUGAUGAUGAUGGUGAUGAUGAUGGUUCCGGUUCUGAGGCCGGUAGUGAAGAGAGUUCUGAGUCCUAUGAGGACUAAGUUUUUUUAUGUUAUGUUUUAUUUUCUUGUAUUUUCAGAUAUUUGGUAUUUUGGUUAUGUACUUUUUGGGGUGUUUUGUCCCCCACGCACAUUUUAACAUUUUGAAGUGAUGG
rnacentral:lncRNA from 1 species